CCUACGGGAGGCAGCAGUGGGGAAUAUUGGGCAAUGGGCGCAAGCCUGACCCAGCAACGCCGCGUGAAGGAAGAAGGCUUUCGGGUUGUAAACUUCUAUUGUCAGGGAAGAGUAGAAGACUGUACCUGCAGAAUAAGCCACGGCUCACUACGUGCCAGCAGCCGCGGUAAUACGUAGGUGGCAAGCGUUUGCCGGAUUUACUGGGUGUAAAGGGCGUGUAGCCGGUUUGACAAGUCAGAUGUGAAAUCCUGCGGCUUAACCGCAGAAUUGCAUUUGAAACUGUUGGUCUUGAGUGCAGGAGGGGCAGAUGGAAUUCCUAGUGUAGCGGUGAAAUGCGUAGAUAUUAGGAGGAACACCAGUGGCGAAGGCGGUCUGCUGGACAGCAACUGACGGUGAGGCGCGAAAGCGUGGGGAGCAAACAGGAUUAGAUACCCCUGUAGUC
rnacentral:rRNA from 1 species